rnacentral:rRNA from 1 species
AUAGUACCUUACUACAUGGAUACCUGUGGUAAUUCUAGAGCUAAUACAUGCUGAAAACCUCGACUUCGGAAGGGGUGUAUUUAUUAGAUAAAAAACCAAUGCCCUUCGGGGCUCCUUGGUGAAUCAUAAUAACUUAACGAAUCGCAUGGCCUUGCGCCGGCGAUGGUUCAUUCAAAUUUCUGCCCUAUCAACUUUCGAUGGUAGGAUAGUGGCCUACCAUGGUGGCAACGGGUAACGGGGAAUUAGGGUUCCAUUCCGGAGAGGGAGCCUGAGAAACGGCUACCACAUCCAAGGAAGGCAGCAGGCGCGCAAAUUACCCAAUCCCGACACGGGGAGGUAGUGACAAUAAAUACUGAUACGGGGCUCUAAUGGGUCUCGUAAUUGGAAUGAGUACAAUCUAAAUCCCUUAACGAGGAACAAUUGGAGGGCAAGUCUGGUGCCAGCAGCCGCGGUAAUUCCAGCUCCAAUAGCGUAUAUUAAAGUUGUUGCAGUUAAAAAGCUCGUAGUUGAACCUUGGGUCUGGCUGGCCGGUCCGCCUCACCGCGAGUACUGGUCCGGCUGGACCUUUCCUUCUGGGGAAUCUCAUGGCCUUCACUGGCUGUGGGGGGAACCAGGACUUUUACUGUGAAAAAAAUUAGAGUGUUCAAAGCAGGCCUUUGCUCGAAUACAUUAGCAUGGAAUAAUAGAAUAGGACGUGCGGUUCUAUAACUGUUGGUUUCUAAGGACCGCCGUAAAUGAUUAAUAGGGAUAGU